GGAGGUUGGCGGCAGACGCGUCUCUCGCCAACCGGGUCAGAUCCGGAAGGAAGCAGCCCUAACGAGUUUUUCGCGGGUUGCCUGUCCAACCUCCCAC
rnacentral:SRP_RNA from 1 species